GUGACAGGUGCAUGCUACCAUGCCCAGCUUUUUUUCAAAGACAUGGGGAUCUCAUGAACCUUUUUUACUUGGGCUGGCUUGGAGUCAUAAUCCUCCUAAUUUUAGCCUUCUGUAUAGCUGAGAUGAUAGACAUGUGCUACUGUGCCUGGCCUCAAGCUGUGAUAUUCCUGAUCUCAGCCUCCAGACUAGUGGUUUUCUUUUUUUUUUGUUAUAUUGGGGUUUGAACUCAGGGUCUCAAGCUUGCUAGGCUGAUGCUCUACCACUUGAGCUACUCGGCCAGCCCUAGUGUUUUGUUUUUAAGUGAAUGUAGAUAAAUGACACCAGUUUUUGGCCAGCAGUUCAACUGGCAAAUAUUCGGGUACCCGCCUUGUACUUGCUAUGUUUUGAUCAUAUGUGGUUAAAGGAAAUUGAUGUAGUACUGGUACCUUCAAUGAAGUGCUCAGAGCAGCGUAUAAAUAAAAUACAUAUAAAUACAAAUACAAGUAUAUUUCUGUAGAAAUAUAAUGUAAGAUGCACAAGUAAUCUGAAAUAUUCCAGUAGCCACUGGAAAAGUUUUAAAAAGGGGGGGUAAAUUAAUUUUAAUUACAGAUCUUAAUAACCCAGUAUAGCCAAAAUAUUUCACCAUGUAAUCAGUAGGGACAGAUUAAUGAGAUAUUUUCACUUCUGUCUUUGAAAUCCAUUGCAUGUUUCAUAUUCAGAGCCUUCUCAAUUCAAACUAGCUACAUUUCAAGUGUUCAGAAGCCAUGAGGCUGCUUCAGUGGACACCAUAGAUCAGAAUUACUGCUCAUAGAAGUAGUGGGGGAUUCUGACUAGGAAAGAACCCAAGUAGAAAAUGACUUGGAGGGACAAGAGGAAACCAGGAAGAUGAGUUAGAAGCUGUGUCCAUCCUUCAGGAUGGAGAGAAGGGAGAUAGGAAGAUGAAAUUGAUAAUGUUUCGGUGACUUGGAUUGAUAGGGCAAAGAAGAGCAAGGGCUUUGUCUUUCACAACGGGGAAGACUUGGUGAUUGAAAGGUUUGGUUGGUGGUACCUAGUGUGUGAUGGAAAGCAAAGGCUCUGUUUUGGCAAUAGUAAAUAUAAUGUGCUUGUGAGAUAUCCAGGGGUAAAUACCUACUAGUAGUUGGGUACCUGCAUUUGAAGUGCACAUAGUCUUAAUGGUUUUACAGAUUUGAAUCUCAACUAUAUUUAUAGAGUCAUUUAUGAAACCCAUGGAAAUGGCUAAAUUUAUUCAAUGGAACGUGUUUUAAUUCUCCUCAAGCUUUGUUUCAGAUGCUGGGGAAACUGUGAAUAAAAAAAAUGCGAAUUUACUCCUGUGAAUGUGGUAAAUUGGAAGAGUGUGAUAUAGGUUCUGUCUACAACCUGAACUCUUAGGAACUACUACAUCCAUCUCUCCGAUUUUGUUGUCUUCUGGUCCUUGUGGAUUUUGCCUUUAAAGAAAAUAAAAACAAAACAGCAGCAGUCCUUUUCCUGGAGCCUCAGACCUUAUUUCAGCGUGUGUUUAUUGUUCACUCUUUACCCAGGAGUACCACCACUGUGCUUGCACACCACUGUCCCAUUCUGUGAUCUUGUUUCUUAUAUUCUUAACCCUGCAGAAUAUCCACAUUUCUUAGUAUACAUAAUGCACAUUCAGCAUUUCCCUUAAUUAGUCUAAGUGAAAAAACUGUGAGCAAUUAAAGACUUUUCAAGAAGAAUGUAUUAUGUCUCAGCAUACUUAUUACACUUUAGGAGUGCUUCUGUUUCAUACAAUAUCCUACUUUAUUCCUGCUAAUCUGCUAAUGUGGUAACUUGGAAGAAAACUGUCACCAGGAUAACCUGUAAUGGGCAAGGAGCCACAGAGACGUUUCUUUUAAUUUUUAACCUUGGUUUGAAAGUUACAUGUCACUUUGUUUCUGAUGCCUGACUCAUUUAUGGACUCUCAAGACCUUACCUGGUAUUUCAGAGAUCUGGCAAAUACUGGAUGCUUUUUACAUGGCACAUUCGCUAUCUCUAGGGCCCAUGAGAAUUUACUGAUUUGACUCCUGAGUUUUAUCAUGCUCUGCUGCUCAUAUUCAUACACUCUGUUGCAUGUGCACACACUGGACACACAGACACCUUGACCCAUCUGAAUUUUCCUUCCUUUUAAUUGUUUUUAUGUUUACCCCAUGUGUAUACAUUGUUUGGGUCACCCUUACUGACCACACCAAUUUUGUUCCUUUGAUCUUUGGUAAGUCUCCUGGCAAAAUUUGAUAUCCUGGCAAAAUUUGACUACCAAGUUUUGUCAUCUUUAUUACUUGCCCUUUUCCUUCUAACUUCUCAGUCUCGCUUUAAAAAAAAAAUCCUUGUUCUUAAUAGCAAUAACUCAUGAUUUGCAUAUACUUGAGGUUUUUGAAACAAUAGAAAAUGAGAACAGAAGUUUAUGGACAGUCAUGGACUGCAUAGUGAUGUUUUCACCAAUAACAGAUAUGUAUAUGUGAAAGUAGUCCCACUAUUAUGGCCUAAGUGACACCAUAGCCAUCUUAGUUUGUGUAAGCAUACUCCAUGAUGUUCAUGCAGUAACAAAAUUGGCUAAUGAUACAUUCUUAGAACAAAUCUCAGUGGGAGUAAUGCUAACUGACAUUCAGGUUUUCACAAAGGAGAAUUUGUAGAGAAACAUAUCACUGUACUUGAUUUAAUCUGAAUUAGCUGACACAAUAAGUCUGGAUUUUUUUUGGUUGUGAGGUGACUUCCUUCCUCCCUCUCUCCACGCUCCCUGAACCCCUGAACCCCUGGACUGAAGUGAUCGUCAGCCUCCAUUAGUAGCUGCUACUGCAUGUGUAUGGCAACACACCCAACUUUGGCUUUUUAACUAUGAAAGUAAAGUAGACAGUACCGCUUGCCUCACUCUUAGCAUCUUACUGAUGGGCUUUGGCCAGGGUUUGCAUGGGCAUUUGCUGUCUGAGCAUUGUGUAUUUUCCAAGCAGCUGAGAAUUCCAAGGGCAAGCCAUGAAUUUUUGUCAUCUGAUACCAGAUGCACAGUUCAGGAAUGAAGAAAAGUGAAAACUAGACUUCAAGGUGGCAGAAUUGUGGUUAACACCUGAAGAAGCAUGAUAAUUAGGGUGAAAUCUCUUAGGGGACACCUGAUUUUCAAAGUAGAGGCCCUUGUAAGAGCUUACCCUCUUUUGUGUCAGGCUCAUUCCCUUCCUGCCCCACAUUGCUUUUGUGCCAAGAAAUAUAAACACUGUUGAGUGUGUGCUUGCCACAGCAUCAGUGUCAUUUCUUCUGUCAAAUCUGCUGUCUACUAUUUAGAAUUAAUUUUUUCUGUCUGCCAUGAAAAUACUUUGUUUAAUCUCUACCAUAGGUGGUGUACAUUUCCCUCAAUUGAAACUCAUUGGCUCUGUCUUUUCUUCUGCAACAGGCAUGCACUGUGCUGGACAUUCAUGCACAGCCCAUGAGACCUGGCCUUGUGUUGCCAUCUUACUGCUGCUACCUUCCCAAAGGGAAGGUCACCAUGGCCUUCUCCCUGCUGUGAAUUUCUUGAAGCUACUGGGUCUUCUGAUUAUCUGUGCUUCAUGCUGCUCUAUUACCUACUAAAUCCUUUCUCUUUUCCCCCCCUUGAGAUAGGAUUUCACUAGGUAGCCCAGAGUGGGCCUUGAACUUGAAAUCCUCCUGCCUCAGCCUCCAAACAGUUUGGCUUCCAGACCAGCAUGUUUUGGAAAUUUGAUCUUCACUCAUCAUCCCACAUAGACACACUUCUAGAAAGAGAAGAUGUAACACUGAAGGAGUUAAUGGAUGAGGAAGAUGUUUUACAGGAAUGUAAAGCCCAGAACCGCAAACUUAUAGAGUUUCUGUUAAAAGCAGAAUGCCUCGAAGAUUUAGUCUCAUUCAUUAUAGAAGAACCACCUCAAGACAUGGAUGAAAAGAUCAGAUACAAGUAUCCCAAUAUAUCUUGUGAGUUGCUCACUUCUGAUGUCUCCCAGAUGAAUGAUAGACUGGGGGAAGAUGAAUCCUUGCUAAUGAAAUUAUAUAGCUUCCUCCUAAAUGAUUCCCCCUUGAACCCACUACUUGCCAGUUUCUUCAGCAAGGUGCUAAGUAUUCUUAUCAGCAGAAAACCAGAACAGAUUGUGGAUUUCUUAAAGAAGAAACGUGAUUUUGUAGACCUUAUUAUAAAGCAUAUAGGAACUUCUGCUAUCAUGGAUUUGUUGCUCAGGCUCCUGACAUGCAUUGAGCCUCCACAGCCCAGGCAAGAUGUGCUGAAUUGGUUAAAUGAGGAGAAAAUUAUCCAGAGGCUUGUGGAAAUAGUUCAUCCAUCGCAAGAAGAAGAUCGACAUUCAAAUGCCUCACAAUCACUUUGUGAAAUUGUUCGCCUGAGCAGAGACCAGAUGUUACAAGUUCAGAACAGUACAGAACCAGAUCCCCUGCUUGCCACUCUAGAAAAGCAAGAAAUUAUAGAGCAGCUUCUAUCAAAUAUUUUCCACAAGGAGAAAAAUGAAUCAGCCAUAGUCAGUGCAAUCCAGAUUUUACUGACUUUACUUGAGACACGACGACCAACGUAAGCUUUCCUUUUAUCUUACAAAAUGAUCCAUCUUGUUUGCCUUUUAGGUUUCUUAAAAGAGUUCUUACUAGAUAACCUACAGUACCAUGCCCUUUAAGUUUACUGUGCUGGAUCUUUUUCUGCUAUAUAAACUAUAACUUAGUUCUAUUUGACUAUCAUGUAGUAUAGAAUGUGGUUGAAAAAUAUGGUUUGAUGAACACUACUUAUUGGCAGUAUUUUGUUUUUUGUAGUAGCUAUAAAAAUGCUAUAAUAAACAAAACAGGAACCUGGACAAUGUUGUAAACAAACAGCAGCAUAUUUCUUGCUCAUGACAGUGGAAUAUAGGUGUCCCUGGCAGGUGGGUCUUUUUCCUCCAUGUGCUGAUUGAGGGCCUCUUUCCAUCUUAAGACUGUCUUUCACAGACCCUCACAUGGAAUGUUUGCCUGGGUUUCACUGUGAGGGCACUGCAGUUCCUGAGGCUGUGGGCAGUGGGUAGGCAGGUGGCUUGGAGCCUGAAGGACCGAUGUCUGCUAGCUGUUUCAUAAGCAAGAAUGUGGUAUUUUUUUCCCAUGUAUGGAUUUUUGUUCCUGAAGCAGCCAUUUAAUGUUUGUCAUGUUAUUCUUUACAGUUUCUAUCCAGGGUUAAUUUGCUUACUAAUUGUCUAGAUUUUCUAACUGCUCUUGGAACAUGAGAAUUUGAAGAGGCAGGAAUAUGUAACUGUUCCAGGAAUGUGUAAUUUAGAGGCUGGGGUAUUUUCCCCCCUUAUCCCUCAUUCCUGGAUCCAUUAAAUCAGGUGACACGAAGAAGAAAGUCCUCUCUGAGCAGGUGAAGUCUUUAGCCAUAUAAGAUGUCUGCUUUUACUUUUAGUGCUGAAAUGUUGAUUCUGAAACAAUGGUAAAGACAACCACACCGCCUUCUGCUUCCCAAGUUCCUCAUCUCUUUUUCUUGCUUUGUCUUUGGUCAGUAAUAAUGGAAGGGAGGUUUAGCAUCAUUACUUCAAUUAUAUUGUCAUAUGGGGAUUAUGUGUACAAUUUCUGUGUCUUUCUUUGAAGCUCAUAUUUUACAAAAGUAAGCGACAGCAUAAGUCACUAGUCAGUUGGUGCAUGGCUGUCUUGUUGCUCAUGCUUGAAUACAUUCCACCUUUUCUCUGCAGCCUAAAAACGCGUUAAAUGGUAUUGGCAGGCUUAUGUGGACUACCCUGACGUGAAAUAAAUCUGAGAUAAAACCAUCCAUUUUUGCAUAUGAAAAGGAGGAAGCACAACUGAACAAUUUAAACAGACCAAAUAAAGAAGAUGAUAAUGAAAGGGAAAUUUCUGACUAGAAGGAGGUUUAAUUCUCAUCAGAAAAGUUUACCAACCAAGAUUAAAAUUAUAAAAUUAGGUUCAGGAGGCUGACGGAGGGCUUAAGCAGUAGAGUACCUGCCUAGCAAGUGUGAGGCUCUAAGUUCAAAUCCCAUUACCAUAAAAAAAAAAAGCAAAACAAAAACACACAGAAAAACUAAAAACGACUCAGAUUUAUCUUGAUAUGAUUCCUGAAUCCUAGAGAUAAACAAUAAAUCUUCAAAGUGUCUGGAUAAGAAACCUAGUUUACCUAUUAAGUGCAUCAGAUUGCUAGGCAUCUCAUUUGUAAAGCUGUCUAAAUGCUGGAAACCAGAAGGCAGGGUUGUAAGCCUGAAAUGAUGUAGUCUGAAGUGUGAGAACAAAACAGACAUAUUCAAGUAUAUAAAACUUGGCAUUCCUUUUUAUACUGUUCUUCGGUACAUUACUUAAAGGCGAACUUCACCAAAGCCAAACAGAAAAACAAGGAUGAAGAAUUUAAGAUAUAUUGGGCAUGGUGGCGAACACCUGUAAUCCCAUAAUCCCAGCCAGCACUUGGGACAUUGAUGUAGGAGGAUCUAGAGAUCAAGACAAGUCUGGGCUAUGUAGCAAGACCCUGUCUUGGGGGAGAAAAAAGGAAAUAUAUUGAUUUGAAGGUCAUAUAGAGAUCUGCCUCCAGGCUUGAGUCAUGUCAGCA